UACGGAGGGUGCAAACGUUAUCCGGAAUGAUUGGGCGUAAAGCGCGCGUAGGUGGCUUGAUAAGCCGGUUGUGAAAGCCCCGGGCUCAACCUGGGAACGGCAUCCGGAACUGUCAGGCUAGAGUGCAGGAGAGGAAGGUAGAAUUCCCGGUGUAGCGGUGAAAUGCGUAGAGAUCGGGAGGAAUACCAGUGGCGAAGGCGGCCUUCUGGUCUGACACUGACGCUGAGGUGCGAAAGCGUGGGUAGCAAACAGG
rnacentral:misc_RNA from 1 species